AACAAACAAUUUUUUGGUGUCCAU
rnacentral:siRNA from 1 species